AGACCCGAAACCCGGUGAUCUAGCCAUGGGCAGGUUGAAGGUUGGGUAACACUAACUGGAGGACCGAACCGACUAAUGUUGAAAAAUUAGCGGAUGACCUGUGGCUGGGGGUGAAAGGCCAAUCAAACCGGGAGAUAGCUGGUUCUCCCCGAAAGCUAUUUAGGUAGCGCCUCGUGAAUUCAUCUCCGGGGGUAGAGCACUGUUUCGGCUAGGGGGCCAUCCCGGCUUACCAACCCGAUGCAAACUGCGAAUACCGGAGAAUGUUAUCACGGGAGACACACGGCGGGUGCUAACGUCCGUCGUGAAGAGGGAAACAACCCAGACCGCCAGCUAAGGUCCCAAAGUCAUGGUUAAGUGGGAAACGAUGUGGGAAGGCCCAGACAGCCAGGAUGUUGGCUUAGAAGCAGCCAUCAUUUAAAGAAAGCGUAAUAGCUCACUGGUCGAGUCGGCCUGCGCGGAAGAUGUAACGGGGCUAAACCAUGCACCGAAGCUGCGGCAGCGAACGUAUCACUUAAAGCGAUUCAGCGGGUUACGAUUGACGGAGCGAAGCGACGUCAAAGCGUAUACAAAGUCGAGUCGGUUUAAGGAUACGUUCGUUGGGUAGGGGAGCGUUCUGUAAGCCUGUGAAGGUGGCCUGUGAGGGUUGCUGGAGGUAUCAGAAGUGCGAAUGCUGACAUAAGUAACGAUAAA
rnacentral:rRNA from 1 species